UAAUACAUGCAAGUCGAACGCAUUGUGUUGAAAUGAUAUGAAGAACUUGUUCAGAUUUGAUUUCAACAUUGCAAUGAGUGGCGAACGGGUGAGUAACACGUGGGAACCUACCUCUUAGCAGGGAUAACAUUGGAACAAAUGCUAAUACCGUAUAAUAAUUAAAACCGCAUGGUUUUAGUUUAAAGAUGGUCUUGCUAUCACUAAGAGAUGGUCCCGCGGUGUAUUAGUUAGUUGGUGAGGUAAUGGCUCACCAAGACAAUGAUACAUAGCCGAGUUGAGAGACUGACCGGCCACAAUGGGACUGAGACACGGCCCAUACUCCUACGGGAGGCAGCAGUAGGGAAUCUUCCACAAUGGACGAGAGUCUGAUGGAGCAACGCCGCGUGUGUGAUGAAGGGUUUCGGCUCGUAAAACACUGUUGUAAGAGAAGAAUGACAUUGAGAGUAACUGUUCAAUGUGUGACGGUAUCUUACCAGAAAGGAACGGCUAAAUACGUA
rnacentral:rRNA from 1 species